rnacentral:misc_RNA from 1 species
AUUGAUAAAUCUGGACACAACAGUGAAUAUUACAAGUUCAGUGAUCUCACUUUUCCGAGCCCGUGUAAUAAGCUCGAAUCAGAACAUGUGUUCCUUUGGAAUAUAUUAUGCUUCGACAUGAAAGACAGUUUCGAUAAGGCCUCAUUUCGGUUCUGCACUUCCAAAUCGAAAUUUGGUGUUGAGGAUCGCGAUAUUGAGAGAAUAAUUAAAUGUGGGGUACAUCCUAUAUAUGUUCGAGACAAUGGUGGCUGCAGAGAUAAAAAGAGAAGUAGAAAUCAAGAAGAUGAGGAAGACGAACCUUCUCCCCUAAGAUUCAAACAAGACGCAAAACCUUACAACAGCACUACCACCAUGGCAGAGUCUUAUUAGAUGUUUG